UGAAUACGAGACGCUAAGGCGUCGAAGUAGUGUAUGUCAUACUUCCAAGAAAAGCUUGCACUGUCAUAGAUAAAAAACGCCUGUACCAUAACCGACACAGGUGGGUAGGUAGAGUAUACUAAGGGGCGCGAGAUAACUCUCUCUAAGGAACUCGGCAAAAUAACUCCGUAACUUCGGGAGAAGGAGUGCCUUAUUCUUAAGGUUGCAAUAACAAGAUCCAAGCAACUGUUUAUCAAAAACACAGGUCUCCGCUAAGUCGUAAGACGAUGUAUGGGGGCUGACGCCUGCCCAGUGCCAGAAGGUUAAAGAAGCUGGUUAGCAUUUGCGAAGCUAGUAACUGAAGCCCUGGUGAACGGCGGCCGUAACGAUAACGGUCCUAAGGUAGCGAAAUUCCUUGUCGGGUAAGUUCCGACCCGCACGAAAGGCGUAAUGAUUUGGAUACUGUCUCGGAGAGGGGCUCGGUGAAAUAGACUUGUCUGUGAAGAUGCGGACUACCUGCACCAGGACAGAAAGACCCUAUGAAGCUUUACUGUAACUUGAAAUUGAAAUUGGACUUUAUUCGCGCAGUAUAGGUGGGAGGCGUUGAUUAUAAUCUUGCGGGAUUAUUGGAGCCAUUAGUGAGAUACCACUCUUGUAAUGUUAGAUUUCUAACUUUGAAUCAUUAUAUGGUCAAAGAACAGUUUCAGGCGGGCAGUUUGACUGGGGCGGUCGCCUCCUAAACGGUAACGGAGGCGUACAAAGGUUUCCUCUGAACGGUUAGAAAUCGUAUCUAGAGUGUAAAGGCAUAAGGAAGCUUGACUGUGAGACCUACAAGUCGAGCAGGGACGAAAGUCGGUCUUAGUGAUCUGACGGUACUGAGUGGAAAGGCCGUCACUCAACGGAUAAAAGUUACUCUAAGGAUAACAGGCUGAUCUCCCCCAAGAGUUCACAUCGACGGGGAGGUUUGGCACCUCGAUGUCGGCUCAUCGCAUCCUGGGGCGGUAGUACGUCCCAAGGGUUGGGCUGUUCGCCCAUGAAAGCGGUACGCGAGCUGGGUUCAGAACGUCGUGAGACAGUUCGGUCCAUAUCCGGUGUAGGCGUUAGAAUAUUGAGAGGAGCCUUCUUUAGUACGAGAGGACCGAGAAGGACAUACCUCUGGUGUACCAGUUAUCGUGCCAACGGUAAACGCUGGGUAGCUAUGUAUGGAGUGGAUAACCGCUGAAAGCAUCUAAGUGGGAAGCCCACCUCAAGAUAAGUAUUCUCAUC
rnacentral:rRNA from 1 species